AGCCCUUCCUAGGUUUGAAGAGUGAUUAUGCUGGAACCCAGACCCCUCAGUGCAGAGCCAGGAACCAUCUGUCAGUGGCUUCCUGACACAGCCUUUUGUGCUGACUGGAGGUGUGUCUGCCCUGGCCAUAACCUAUUUCAGGUGCUCUAGAAUACUCCACCUUUGAUUGAGCCUGGACCUUGUACAUGGACUGUGUGGAGGCUUUGCUGAGGAUGUUAGGCUGCGAGUGGAACGCUUCCUUGGGGUUUCAAGCCUGGAAAUAACGGAUACCGUAAGUGAGGGAGCUGGCUCCUUUCCUGGCAGUGACAUCCAUGCCCUCGUCACACAAAUUAGUCUCCACCUGCGCAGCUCUGUGGAUUCACUUCUGGAGAGGAACAGGUAUGUCACUGGCUGGUUCAGCCCCUACCAUCGCAGGCGGAAGCUUGUUCAUCCUGUUAUGAUCCAGCACAUACAGCCGGAGGCACUCAGCCUUCUAAGCAGGUGGAACAACCUCGUGCAGCAGCUGGAGGCAGCCCUGCAGCCGGUCUUCUACCCGGACGCCAUUGAAGAGUGGCUGGAGGAGAAUGUGCUCCCCAGUAUGCAGCGACUGCAGGGUCUGCUGCAGGACCUGGGUGAGGCGGCCGC
rnacentral:lncRNA from 1 species